GAUUUAUCGCCGUAGGAUGGGACUGCGGCCUAUCAGCUUGUUGGUGAGGUAAUGGCCCACCAAGGCGAUUACAGGUACGGGCUCUGAGAGGAGAAGCCCGGAGAUGGGUACUGAGACAAGGACCCAGGCCCUAUGGGGCGCAGCAGGCGAGAAAACUUUGCAAUGCGCGAAAGCUCGACAAGGUUAAUCUGAGUGGUUCCUGCUAAAGGAACCUUUUGUUAGUCGUAGAACCACUGAUGAAUAAGGGGUGGGCAAGUUCUGGUGUCAGCCGCCGCGGUAAAACCAGCACCUCAAGUGGUCAGGAUGAUUAUUGGGCCUAAAGCAUCCGUAGCCGGCUCUGUAAGUUUUCGGUUAAAUCCAUGUGCUCAACGCAUGGGCUGCCGAAAAUACUGCAUAGCUAGGGAGUGGGAGAGGUAGACGGUACUCGGUAGGAAGGGGUAAAAUCCUUUGAUCUAUCGAUGACCACCUGUGGCGAAGGCGGUCUACCAGAACACGUUCGACGGUGAGGGAUGAAAGCUGGGGGAGCAAACCGGAUUAGAUACCCGGGUAGUCCCAGCUGUAAACGAUGCAGACUAGAUGAUGCAUUGGCAUAAUAGCCAUUGCAGUGUCUCAGGGAAGCCGUUAAGUCUGCCGCCUGGGAAGUACGUACGCAAGUAUGAAACUUAAAGGAAUUGGCGGGGGAGCACCACAAGGGGUGAAGCCUGCGGUUCAAUUGGAGUCAACGCCAGAAAUCUUACCCGGAGAGACAGCAGAAUGAAGGUCAAGCUGAAGACUUUACCAGACAAGCUGAGAGGUGGUGCAUGGCCGUCGCCAGCUCGUGCCGUGAGAUGUCCUGUUAAGUCAGGUAACGAGCGAGAUCCCUGCCGCUAGUUGCUAUCAUUAUUCUCAGGAAUAGUGGGGCGAAUUAGUGGGACUGCCGUUGUUAAAACGGAGGAAGGAAGGGGCUACGGCAGGUCAGUAUGCCCCGAAACUCUGGGGCCACACGCGGGCUGCAAUGGUAGCGACAAUGAGUUCCAAACUCGAAAGAGAGUGGCAAUCCCUAAACGC
rnacentral:rRNA from 1 species